rnacentral:rRNA from 1 species
UAGGGAAUUUUCCACAAUGGACGGAAGUCUGAUGGAGCAACGCCGCGUGUGCGAAGAAGGUUUUCGGAUUGUAAAGCACUGUUGUAAGGGAAGAAUAAUUUGUAGAGGAAAUGCUAUAGAGAUGACGGUACCUUACCAGAAAGCCACGGCUAACUACGUGCCAGCAGCCGCGGUAAUACGUAGGUGGCAAGCGUUGUCCGGAAUUAUUGGGUGUAAAGGGCGUGUAGGCGGCGCAAUAAGUCUGGUGUGAAAUCUCACGGCUCAACCGUGAAAUAGCAUUGGAAACUGUUGUGCUAGAGUGUCGGAGAGGAAAGCGGAAUUCCAUGUGUAGCGGUGAAAUGCGUAGAUAUAUGGAGGAACACCAGUGGCGAAGGCGGCUUUCUGGACGAAUACUGACGCU